GCAAUGCCGCGUGCAGGAUGAAGGCCUUCGGGUUGUAAACUGCUUUUGUACGGAGCGAAAAGGCUCUCUCUAAUACGGGGAGUUCAUGACGGUACCGUAAGAAUAAGCACCGGCUAACUACGUGCCAGCAGCCGCGGUAAUACGUAGGGUGCGAGCGUUAAUCGGAAUUACUGGGCGUAAAGCGUGCGCAGGCGGUUUUGUAAGACAGAUGUGAAAUCCCCGGGCUCAACCUGGGACCUGCAUUUGUGACUGCAAGGCUAGAGUACGGUAGAGGGGGAUGGAAUUCCGCGUGUAGCAGUGAAAUGCGUAGAUAUGCGGAGGAACACCGAUGGCGAAGGCAAUCCCCUGGACCUGUACUGACGCUCAUGCACGAAAGCGUGGGGAGCAAACAGGAUUAGAUACCCUGGUAGUCCACGCCCUAAACGAUGUCAACUGGUUGUUGGGUCUUUACUGACUCAGUAACGAAGCUAACG
rnacentral:rRNA from 1 species